AUGGAUUAUUCCGUUGCAUCCACAAGGUUAACGUGACCUGGAAGACCGCCAGGGAAUACUGCGAUGCGUCCAACUCUUGCGAUAAUAGAAAUGAACGCCUGUGCCAGAUAUUGAAGGAUGGAAAACUACAGACGAACGUGUUAUCUGCCGAAAUGUCUGGUGAAGAGUUCCUUUAAAAGUUCAACAUCACAAUUGAACAUCCUGAUUGUCCUCACUUGUACACACGUGUUGGCGACCACUGCUUGUCAUUCUUUUCUUUGGAUUGGUCAAUUGGGGAGAAGCUCGGUCUUUCUGCAAGAUGAAUGGCGGUGACCUUUUGACCUUUCAAGAUGGCGUCGGGAUCUUCUACGAAAUCGUCCGCCACCUCCGCGAGCACA